rnacentral:lncRNA from 1 species
GAGAGUAAAUUAUAAAUUUUAUGAAGGCCAUACAAUGCAAUUUUCCUAGAUAAAAUGAAAGAACACUAACUAAAAAACUACAAAAACAUCAAAAACUUAUGUGAAAAAGACAUGAUCUGCUGAUCAGGUCUUUAAUUUGUUUUAUUCUGUCAACAAAAUCUUUAAGGGAAAUUAACAUUGUAAGUAAUGGUAAUUCUUAGUUUGUUCUAAAAAUACUAUAUGUCAAUGUUAGACCCGAAAAAACACUAAAUGUCAAUGUAUUAAAGUUCUUAAAAAUUUAGUCUUUUCCCACGAUGUAAAAAGUUAAUAUACAUCUAGUGCAUGGAGAAUUUUCAUCUUUACCACAUUGUUAGUAUCAUUAUUCAUGUUUACCUUCACUAAAAAGAUAUUUUCACAAAUAGCUUCUACAUUAAGAGACAAAUACUCUUACUCUAUGCAUAUAUAUAAUAAAAAAAUUAUUUAAAUAAAUGAUAAUAAAAAAAUAACGUUUUAUAGUUUUCGAAUUAUAUGUUUUCAAAUUCGAUCUUUUAUAAAAAAUUUCCAACUUUUUUAAUUUUCCUUUUAAAAUUCGAAUUUUUUU